AAGACUAUGUUUUCAGGGAUCAUUUCUAUAGUUCAUUAAGAGAGAAGUUUCUCUGAAUGUGUAGAGCACCUGAAACCCCGAGGAAGAAACUUAGUGUUCUCUCCUGAGUGUGAAGCUGGUUCUUGGCGUUGGUUCUGCAACUGCCAUUUGCCAUUGAUGAUCAUUCUUCUCUUCCUCUGGGAGAGCAAGAGGGAGAGGCCACUGCCUGAG